UUAAAAAUUUAAAAUUUUUUAAAAUUCACUAAUAACUAUAUCACAUUCAUAGUCGUUGUUUGAAAUUCUCCCAUUGACAUAUCUUAAAUGAUUAUUUACUGAAAUUGAUAAUAUUUUUAUACAUCUAUCAAUUAAAAAAAAACAGAGACUUAAUAAAUAUCUAUGACAAGCCUUAAAAUUAUUUUAUGUUACUAAACAUGUCAUUGGUUUGUCUAGUGUUUUUAAAGUUUUGAAAAUGUCAUAUCAGCACUUACAAUUAUCUCUAUAAUAACAUAUUAAAACAUUCAUGUGUUGGAAAAACAUUUAAUGGUCUCAUCGGAUAUGACGAUUGAAAAUUAUGGAAACGAACAAGUAAUAGACAAAAUAAAUAUAGUUAAAUAAUCUGAUUUAGCAUUGGUUACCGAUUUCUGUUAAAAUAAAAAAUAAAAAACUGAAAGUGGCCAAUUAAACAAAUGAGAAUGAAAAAGUAAUCCUUCUUGUCUAUCAUAAUCAAACCAAAGCUAACAGUGUUUUAGUCUAAGUAAUACUUCCUUCUAAAUGCCAAUCACAGAAUCUAAUCCUUUCAUUAAAAAGAGAGUUUUUUCUUUUUUUUUUUCAACCAACACAAACCAGAAAACCGCCUAUAUAUCUCAACAGCGAAACAUAGUGUAAAUUAGUAGUUUAUAUUGUAGUCCUACACCAUAAACUAGUAAUCCUUCUAAGAGAUUCCCCUCGUUUCCCUUUCCCCCCUGUUCCCGAUCUCAGAUCAUUCUUCUUGUAAAAAACGCAAAGAAAGAAAGAAAGGGGAAAAAAGAAACUGUGGAUGUAUAUUUAACAAUCGCACGUGUGAACCUGGCUUGACUUGAAACUAAAGAAAAGAAAUAUGAGGGAGAGAUCACAGAUUGACAUUAAAAACACAGGUCAUUCAAUUUUCAAAACAAUCAUAACCCAUACAGAUGCAGAUCCAAAAAAUGGAUGAUAUAAAACUGGUGCGUACCUUAUCUUCAAACGGAGACGAAAGGCGAAGACGAUGAUGUGCUUUGAGGACUUGAUUCGAUGCAGCAGAAUUAGCAGUAUCUUUUGAUUCUAAGGAAUCAACUCGAAUAUUCCAUACCCUUCCAGAAGACCCUUGUCUGCGAAAUGAACGAGACGAUCUUUGCAACAUGGGAGAUUAGUGGUGAUGAGUUUCUAUCUCUGUCUCCCUGGAUCCUUUAUAUGUUUUCUCUGCGCCUUCCCAGUUAAGUUAUUUUCUGUCCUUCAAAUAAUUAAUCAUAUUUAAUUUUGGUUUGAGGUAUGAGGUCCGGGAUCUGAAUUCCUAAAUCUUGUAAAUGCCAAUAUAGCAAAUACCUAGCUAAAUUUAUAGAGCUAAUUUAUCAUUUACACAUAAUUAAUUGAGGCAUAACUUUUGACUGGCUAUUCAUUUGGGUUUGCAUUACUAUUGUUAGAAAUUUUUGCGUGGUGAUUCUUGUGUUUGCACUUGUGGUAGGCUGCAUAGCUAUGUUUAGAAGGUUGAAUUAUGAUUAAUGUUUUAAAAAUUAGACCAAACAAUGAACCAUAAAAAUUAGUAGGUCAUGGAUCUUAUAGUUUAACUAGUGAUAUAAUAACUAAAUAAAAAAUAAUAUUCACACAGGCACACAUGCACAUACGCACACACAAAUAGGUUAAAAUAAUUCAAUUAUUUCAAGUCUUGAAUUUUUAUUCCGAAUCAUCAAAAAUCACACAUACAAAAAUAAGUUAAAACAGUUCAAUUAUUUCAAAUCUUGAGUUUUUGUUUUAGAUCGUCAAGAAUCACUCAGGUCAAAGUGAACCAAUUGUCAAAAUAUGCCAAAUGGUUGAACCAAAUCAUUUUAUUUUUGAGUGAUGAUUCAAUCAUCUGGAUUAAUUCAAGUAACAAUGAUUAUGAUAGGACAAUACUUGUCACCUAUCCUUAGGUCUUUUUUCUCUUGGUUUUUUGUUUACCAAUUUAAAUUACACAUCUACAGAGCACAUAUAGUUAUAUAUUAUAGACAAUACAGAUAUUAAAAUACAAAGGAAAACCCUAAGUCACUUUUUAAGCUUUAUGAUAUUAUAAAACUUUUAGGGUAAAGGUAAAAAUACUUAAAAGUUAUUUGUCAAGAACAUCUAGUAUUUUAAAGUGACGAAAAAUGUAUAAGCACCCAUGAAGUUAUUUUUUCAGCAUAUUUGUGAUCAAAUCAUUAAAUUUCAAAUCUCCAACUUAAUAAUCAAUACUGUUGACUUUUAGCAAUUUGAUCAUAGAUGCAUUGAAAAAAUAAUUUCAUGAGUACUUGUGCACUUUUUCUUAUUUUAAAUUAUUGGAUGCUCUUGGUUAGUAAUUUUUCAAGUAUUUUUGUCCUUUUGCCCAAAUUUUUAUGAAUAUUUUAAAUUUUAAUGAAUUUAUCCAGCGAAAUUUUAUAUAUAAUUGUUUCUUACACAAAAGAAAAUAAAAUAUUGGAGAUUUCAUUUUUAUUUUUAAAGUUUGAGGAAUAUGUCCUUGAACGCCUUGUAAUUUGGAAUUUGUCCUUAUGUACCCCAGCUUUAUGUUGCUGUAAAUUGAGUCUUGUUUUAUAUGUAAGAAGGCUACGUAAAUUUUGUCCUGUUAUGCAUCCAUUGUAAGUUGUACUUCGCAUCAGAGGGAGGAAGGGGGUCUCUAAAUCUUCCUUUAGCAGAGAUUCGGAUAUGCUCUACACAAUUGACUCUUUUAAAAAAAGAACUUGUGCACAGGAAAAAAUUGCCGAUCGAUCAUGAUCAAUUGAGGAUGGAUUUCGCUUGAAUUAAGUUCUAUAAGAUUAACUAAUCUUUAGCAUUUGGAUAUUGGUAUCUUAAAUUGGCCUUGGCUCAACACACAUGAAGAGAUUAAUCUUUAUUCUUUAAUGUCUAAAGAUGAAUGAUCCUAACGUAGCCCUGGCUCAAUGUAUUUAGCAGGUGAAGCCUUAAUUACUUGGAUUCUAGUUACAAGUGAUCUAAAAUAUAAUAUAACUUCUGUAUUUUAUUUCAUUUAUCAAUGUGCAUAUUAUAACUAAACACUAAACACAACUAGGUUAAACACUAACCACAACUAGUUUACUGAAAUAAAUCAUUAAAUUAUUUUAUUUUUGAAUUGGUAAUCAAAAAGGUAAAAAAAAAAAAGGCAGUACAAAUCAAGUAGCACUGGUAAAAUUGAAGUGUUUAGGCUGUUAUAUUCAUGCUCAAUAAUGUGAUCCCACCAUUCCUAUGAAACAGUCUGAGAACACAAUCUUAAAUUUCCCCGCUUUAGCGUAGAGGGAUAUCGCGUAGUUCAAACUAUAUAUGCCACUUUAGCUUAGAAGAAAAAAGAAAGGAAAAAGAAAAGGGGAAUCUAGUAAUCAGUGGAUGCAUCUAGCAGUUGAGGAAAUGCUGCCCUAAUCUCACUAUCUCUGUUCAAAAUGGCAUCCACGAAUGAAGAUGAUGAAGCAGUCCCUUCACAAUAUUGCUUAUCAAAGACUUGACGCUUCACGCUCGCCUCAUCAGCCACAACCACUCCUGAACCCUCAUCACCUGCAUUAUUCGAAAAUUGAAUUUGGUUCUGCAUUAUAACCGAGGGACUCAACGACGACGAAACCCCAUUCAUGUCGUACUGAUUCAGCUGUUGAAACUCGGUGCACAUGAACGGGUCACUCAGAAGAAACUCGCUCCAAUCAAACGAUGAACAGGGGGCAGGAACAGCAGCAGCAGCCAUGACGUAGCGAGGUGAGCUUAGUCGUGUGAUACUAGAGGAAGAUGAUGACGAUGACGAGGAACAUGAAGACGCAGCUUCGUUCUGGUGUGACUGGACGUCAUUCUCUGGGUUAAUGAAUUGGGAUUGCACCUCUUGAUCAAGCUGAUUAGAGACCAUUAGAUUGGUGCUUGCGGGUCGUGUUUCAGUUGUUACAGUUGAGAGGCAGCUAAUAGUUCCCAAGUCAGAAAGGACUUGAGACACAGGCUUGUGGGUCACCGGGUCAAUUCCCAUCUUCAUAAGCUUCUUCCUCAGCUUUGUGUUCCAGUGGUUCUUCACAUCAUUGUCUGUUCUCCCAGGGAGUCUCCUCGCAAUCAAAGACCACCUGCACCAGAAAAAAACAAUUAAACACUGAUCAGAUGCCUCAAAAAGAUGCAACAUUCGUUACCUUUCAAAUGUACGUACAAAAGAAAACAGAUAUAUGGCUGGCAAUGGCGCCAAGCUUGUGAUGCAUGCCCAAUACGAUGGUCAGUUUCCUUCUCAAUAAUCCAAGCCAGUUAUAUGUAAAUAUAUA